rnacentral:rRNA from 1 species
UACAGAGGUCCCAAGCGUUGUUCGGAUUCAUUGGGCGUAAAGGGUGCGUAGGUGGCGCCGUAAGUCAGGUGUGAAAUUUCGGAGCUUAACUCCGAAACUGCAUUUGAUACUGCGGUGCUUGAGGACUGGAGAGGAGACUGGAAUUUACGGUGUAGCAGUGAAAUGCGUAGAGAUCGUAAGGAAGACCAGUGGCGAAAGCGGCUUCCUGGUCCAGUACCGACGUUCAGGCACGAAAGCGUGGGGAGCAAACAGG